CGGUCGAGUCGCGUCGUUUCGGCUCCCCGUUUCCGGUCGCCUUCGAAAGCCCCCUCUGCAAGGAUAAAACAGUACGCCCUACUUGAUCGUCAUAUCUGAUUCCGAUCAAACCUCGGAAGGUGAUGUGCAGAGUGUCUGGAUCCUCUGUGAUUUCAACUGCUAAUUCCACUCUCAUGGCAAUUGUAAUUGUCGAGUUCAUAUUUGAAAGACAAGGAUGAAAUAUUUUGCCUUCAACUGUUUUUGGGUGCUUCAGUACUUUCUCUACCGCCAAGGAGAACCAUAAAUUGGAGUAACUACAGACUUGACUUGGAGAUACUUCUCCAAAGCAUGCAUUCCACUGUCCCUCCCGAAUCCACUCAUCUUAUAUCCACCAAAAGGGCAAUCAUCAUCAAAUGCAAAGUAGCAGUUAAUCCAGAUGAUGCCUGCACGAAUCGAUCUUGAGACCCGGUUGGCUAUAUUGAGGUCUUUCGUCACAAUCCCAGCCGCCAGUCCAUAUCUUGUAUUGUUGGCUCUCUCAAUUGCCUCCUCGAUUGUCCUAGCAAAAUAACAAAGGUGACUUGAAGAAAGCUUUUGUAGCAGAAAAUUCUCUUUUCUGAAGGUGUUUUUUGAGUUUAUGCCAAAUGUGCUAUGAUCAAGAAAGCCAUAUUAGAAACAACCUUUACAGGUAAAAAUACAGAAGUGAUUUCAUAUAUUAUACCUGUUUAGCCAAGUGGGCAUAGUAGAGAGCUGUGAGUGG